rnacentral:lncRNA from 1 species
GGAUUCCAUCCGACUUACAGCUGCACCAAAGGCCGACUUUGGCAGCAAUUCCUGGGCUAUAAUUUUAUAAACAGUCUUCUCUUCCCAGACUUCCAAUGUGAAUUUAGACCUCAGCACAGAUUCUGUCUCACAUCUUUAUUCUGUGUCAUCACAUUCUAAUCCGAUGACAAACAGUUGGUCUGAGAUUUCAGUAUAUUACUAUAUUAGUACAAUUUAUGUCCUGUGUGGAAGUUGAUGAAGUG